GACGAAGGAUGCAAGCGUUAUCCGGAUUCAUUGGGUUUAAAGGGAGCGUAGGCGGACUUGUAAGUCAGUGGUGAAAUCUUUGGGCUUAACCCAGAAACUGCCAUUGAUACUGCAGGUCUAGAGUACAGUUGCCGUUGGCGGAAUAUGACAUGUAGUGGUGAAAUACUUAGAUAUGUCAUAGAACACCGAUUGCGAAGGCAGCUAACGAAGCUGUAACUGACGCUGAGGCUCGAAAGUGCGGGGAUCAAAC
rnacentral:rRNA from 1 species